UACGGGGGGGGCAAGCGUUGUUCGGAAUUACUGGGCGUAAAGGGCUCGUAGGCGGCCAACUAAGUCAGACGUGAAAUCCCCAGGCUCAACCUGGGAACUGCGUCUGAUACUGGAUGGCUUGAAUCCGGGAGAGGGAUGCGGAAUUCCAGGUGUAGCGGUGAAAUGCGUAGAUAUCUGGAGGAACACCGGUGGCGAAGGCGGCAUCCUGGACCGGUAUUGACGCUGAGGCGCGAAAGCCAGGGGAGCAAACGGG
rnacentral:rRNA from 1 species